rnacentral:lncRNA from 1 species
AAAAAAAAAUAAAGCUUUUAGUCAUGCCCUUAUAUCCUUACUUCUCUCUGCACAACCAAAGUUGGAAUUCAUAGAAGCCUUUAAGCUCCAAGAGUAGUAUCAAAGUAAGGGAGAGCGUGGGAAACCUAGGGCGUAAAGUUAGAGUGAAGAUUGUGCUUCGAGGGUGAGUUUUCUUUGGUUUUUCUCAAUAGAAAAUGCUUUAAGACCAUGGAUUUUUACACAUAUGUGUGCUAUAUUAUGUGAGGAUAUGUUUUAUGAUUUUGGAUGAUUAUUUUGGUAGAGUUUAUUGGGUGAAAAACCGUGCAUGAGGUAAGGCAGCGAAUCUGCCAUAAGCACACUGCUCCGGCAGUGUAUUGCAAGGCGAUGCCAGCCAUCCAAACGGUUCCCAAAAUUUCCAAAUUAAUUGUGUAUCCACAUUAAUAUGUUUUAUAUACAAUGGUAAAAUUUAAGAAUAUUCAGAGCUCUCAUAAUUUAUUUAUGAAUUUUUAAACAUCACUGCCCAUCUGAAAUACAUUUCUGUAAACAAUCUUUGGGAGGCCAUAAGUCAAGAUUCAAUCGGUGAAAACCUUUGAAACUUGAAUAUGUCACUCUAGACUCCCGUAUAUUUCUUUUGAAACCGGCCUAACCAUUUUUGAAUAGGGAAACAACCGGUAUAAAUUCUUGAAAUCUAGUUCUUAUUCCUAGUACCAUCCAGUAGGUUUUACAAACCUACGACUUUGAGGUCACAAAGUCCAACUUAAACCUUUGAUUAUCAAGCAUAUCUUUCUACUGAAUAUGAAUUGACAUGUUGGGAACUUACUUGUUCAGUUUUAGAAUUUUUGGUGAAGCCUAAAGUGGUUUUUCCGAUUUAUGUUUUGAAUCUGCCAAACUUGAACCAUUUCUGUGCACUGAACUUUAGACAUUCAUAUCUCCUAAACCAUGAACCUUCUUGGAGUAAAUCCAACUGGAGAGUGUUACAAUCUCUCCCUAGUUUCGAAUUAACCCUUGGGGUUCCCAGUGAACUUUUGUAAAGGGAGUAUGAAUUUUUAAAGAAAGCCCACUGACUUGGUUGUAAUCUGGAAAUCUGAAAUUUUUAUAUUUUUGUUUGUUAAAUACCCAUCUUUGAGAGGGCAUAUCUUGCUCGUUUGAACUGUUUUUCAUUCGAUUCAAAUUGGAGAAUGAUCCUUGAAAUGUCUAGUUUCCAGAAUGUCUUUUGGAGCCUUAUUUGGAAAUCUGAGGCAGAUUUGGUGUCUGUUGCAAAACAACCCCUUAAGUGCUCAAGUUGUUGAAUUAUUUUCUAUGUAUCAAAGUUUAUUUUAAAGGAUGUUUCAUGAAAGAUUUAGUAUAUGUGCGUAACGAGUUUGGGGCUUUGAUUUUUUUUUUAUCUCAUUUGGGAUUUUAUUUUUAAUUCAAAGUGGACUGCCUUAUUAAAUAAAUUGGGCUGCAUUUUUACUAAAAAAAUGACUUGGUUUAAAUUUACUAAUUAGACUCUGAUAAAGUUUAAUUAUUUAUUUCUUUAAAGAAUGAUUUCAUAUUAAUAUUAAUUAUUAUUAUGUGCAUAUUUUAAGUAAUUACUUAUUAUAUGCUAAGCAUGACAUGAAAUUGCAUUAUAUUUUGCAAUAAAAGUAUUUAUGAUUUAAUUGGUUUUAAUUAUAAUUCCAAUUAUUAAAGAAAAUCGAGUAAGGAUAUUGUUGGUGUCCUUAACUCAAGAAGUUUAGUUUUCAAUCUUUAUUAUUAAAUUUUGAAACCCGGCGUGAUGAAUCAUAGAAUGUUAAGCAUUUUUCCCCAAGAUAUUAAGUUAGCUUCACGAGACCUAUUAAGAAUAGAAUUUCUUGUAGGCUUUGUGAUGACCAGGAGGAUUAGCGCUACUUUUCCCAAGACAGGUUUUUAUGUGUAUGAUCUUCAGGCUUUGCCUAACCAGGUGGGCUUACUUUCCAAAUGUACAAAGUAUGAUUGAGUUAUUAAGCUCUAAAUGUUUCAAUGAAAUGCAAACUGUUUAUUUAAUGUAAUGAAAACUGUUUAUCCAAUAAAAUAUUUUGUGCACUCUGCUCUGUUUAAGGCUCGCAUAAGUUAAUCGAUCGAGGUUCUCUUAUGACCUAACACGUUGUUUGAGAAUUGUGUACACCUAUUAGCUGACUCGGUGGGUUGAUCUCCAUUCGAGCACUAAUCAUGUAUGAGGCGUUAUAAGGGUGCUCGACGGGAUGUGUUCCGGAGCAUUGGGUCCCAAAUGGGAACUUGACUGGGUUACGCCCUCAGUUCAAGUAAAGCGGGAGAUAUGGAUCCGUCGGUGGCUAAAAGGUCCGGGAUCACAGCGAGUAACAGAAAGGGAGUGUGACAUGUGCGCACAAAUGAAAAAUGUUUUAACAUGCUUAGAAGUUAUUUCAUUUUUAAAACCUUCUAAGUCAUGUCAAGUAUAAUUGGAUAAACUGCUCUUACGAAAAUAUGAAAUGUUUAUGAAAAUGCAUGCCCACUAAGUACAUUAGUACUUAGCCCAAAAAUACUUUCAAAUGUUUUCAGGUUGGCUGGCUGGUGCUGACGGGACGGAGCUGAGGCUAGAGAUAAAUUCCUAUGUUAGACUUCCGCUGUAGCAAUUACUCUUAUACAUCUUUUGUUUUCUCAACUUAAGAUGACUUCAUGUUGAGCUUAAAUUUGAAAUUCUAGUUUUAUGCUAAAUAAUGUUGGUUGUCAG